AUUGAACGCUGGCGGAAUGCUUUACACAUGCAAGUCGAACGGCAGCACGGGGGCAACCCUGGUGGCGAGUGGCGAACGGGUGAGUAAUGUAUCGGAACGUGCCCAGUCGUGGGGGAUAACGUAGUGAAAAUUACGCUAAUACCGCAUACGAUCUAUGGAUGAAAGCGGGGGAUCGCAAGACCUCGCGCGAUUGGAGCGGCCGAUAUCAGAUUAGGUAGUUGGUGGGGUAAAGGCUCACCAAGCCGACGAUCUGUAGCUGGUCUGAGAGGACGACCAGCCACACUGGAACUGAGACACGGUCCAGACUCCUACGGGAGGCAGCAGUGGGGAAUUUUGGACAAUGGGCGAAAGCCUGAUCCAGCCAUUCCGCGUGCAGGAUGAAGGCCUUCGGGUUGUAAACUGCUUUUGUACGGAACGAAACGGCGAGCUCUAAUACAGUUUGCUAAUGACGGUACCGUAAGAAUAAGCACCGGCUAACUACGUGCCAGCCGCCGCAGUAA
rnacentral:rRNA from 1 species